rnacentral:rRNA from 1 species
ACUUUCGAUGGUAGGAUAGUGGCCUACCAUGGUUUCAACGGGUAACGGGGAAUAAGGGUUCGAUUCCGGAGAGGGAGCCUGAGAAACGGCUACCACAUCCAAGGAAGGCAGCAGGCGCGCAAAUUACCCGAUCCUAAUUCAGGGAGGUAGUGACAAUAAAUAACGAUACAGGGCCCAUUCGGGUCUUGUAAUUGGAAUGAGUACAAUGUAAAUACCUUAACGAGGAACAAUUGGAGGGCAAGUCUGGUGCCAGCAGCCGCGGUAAUUCCAGCUCCAAUAGCGUAUAUUAAAGUUGUUGCAGCUAAAAAGCUCGUAGUUGAACUUUGGGCCCGGUUGGCCGGUCCGAUUUUUUCGUGUACUGGAUUUCCAACGGGGCCUUUCCUUCUGGCUAACCUUGAGUCCUUGUGGCUCUUGGCGAACCAGGACUUUUACUUUGAAAAAAUUAGAGUGUUCAAAGCAGGCGUAUUGCUCGAAUAUAUAAACAUGGAAUAAUAGAAUAGGACGUUUGGUUCUAUUUUGUUGGUUUCUA